rnacentral:rRNA from 1 species
UCAGAGUUAACGCUGGCAGCGUGCAUAACACAUGCAAGUCGAACGGAACUUUUUGAGAUUAUAUCAAUGAAAGUUUAGUGGCAGACGAGUGAGUAACACGUAAGAAAUCUACCCCUUAGAAAGGAAUAACGCGCCGAAAGGCGCGCUAAAACCUUGUAUAAUCUUCCGAUGGCAUCGUUGGAGGAUGAAAAAUCCGCAAGGAUUGCUUAGGGAUGAUCUUGCGGCUUAUCAGCUUGUUGGUGAGGUAAUGGCUCACCAAGGCUAAGACGAGUACCCGACCUGAAAGGGUGACCGGGCACGGAGGCACUGAGACACGGGCCUCACUCCUACGGGAGGCAGCAGUGGGGAAUCUUGGACAAUGGGGGAAACCCUGAUCCAGCAAUGCUGCGUGAAGGAUGAAGGCCUGAGGGUCGUAAACUUCUUUUCUAGGGGAAGAAAUCCAGCAAUGGUUUGACGGUACCUUAGGAAUAAGCCCCGGCUAAAUAUGUGCCAGCAGCCGCGGUAAGACAUAUGGGGCAAGCGUUACUCGGAAUUACUAGGCGUAAAGCGCGUGUAGGCGGAUGUUCAAGUCUGCUGUGAAAUCUCCUGGCUUAACCGGGAGGGGUCGGUGGAAACUGGAUGUCUAGAGUGAGGUAGGGGGAACCGGAAUUCCUGGUGUAGCGGUGAAAUGCGUAGAUAUCAGGAGGAACAUCGGUGGCGAAAGCGGGUUCCUGGGCCUUUACUGACGCUGAGACGCGAAAGCUGGGGCAGCAAACAGGAUUAGAUACCCUGGUAGUCCCAGCCGUAAACGAUGAUAACUAGGCGUGGGAGGUAUCGACCCCUUCCGCGCCGACGCUAACGCAUUAAGUUAUCCGCCUGGGGAGUACGGCCGCAAGGUUAAAACUCAAAGGAAUUGACGGGGGCCCGCACAAGCGGUGGAGUAUGUGGUUUAAUUCGACACUACGCGAAGAACCUUACCUGGGCUCGAACGACUGGUAGUACCCUAUUUGAAAGGAUGGGGGACCCGCAAGGGAGCCAGCCGAGGUGCUGCAUGGCUGUCGUCAGCUCGUGUCGUGAGAUGUUGGGUUAAGUCCCGCAACGAGCGCAACCCCUGUCCUGUGUUGCUACCCGCAAGGGAGGACUCUCAGGAGACUGCCGCGGACAACGUGGAGGAAGGUGGGGACGACGUCAAGUCAUCAUGGCCUUUAUGUCUAGGGCUACACACGUGCUACAAUGGCGUAUACAGAGGGAUGCAAGACCGCAAGGUGGAGCAAAUCCCCAAAGUACGCCUCAGUUCGGAUUGUGGGCUGCAAUUCGCCCACAUGAAGCUGGAAUCGAUAGUAAUCGCAGAUCAGCAGGCUGCGGUGAAUACGUUCCCGGGCCUUGUACACACCGCCCGUCACACCACGAAAGCCCGUUGCAACAGAAGUCCAUAGCAAUAUGGCCCAAGUUGUGAUUGGUGAUUGGGGUG